CUUCCUUCCACAGCCACUCCAUCCUACCUCAUCCAUCUACCCUGAAAAAACUAAAAAAAGAUCUAAAAAAAAAAAAAAGAGAUCUGAAAAAAAGAGAUCUAAAAAAGAAAGAUCUAAAGAAAAAAAAGAUCCCAGAGGGAUUCUCUGGCUGCUUAUUUUUUUUACAACCUAAUCAGGUUUGCACAUUUCACUUACCUCAUUUCUGCAUUAUUUUUAUUUCAUGUACAUUUAUUUAAUUAUUGUUUUGUUAUUUUUUAUUUUUUAAUUGGUCGGCUUUAAUUAACUGUACUGUUAAUUUAUAUUGCACACAUUUCAUUUCAUUUUUUUUUUACAACCUGCCAAGAGGUUACCCACCACGAGAUGGUCACAAGCAGUGGUUUCACUGCGUUGUGCCUGAUCGCUAAGAUCCAACAAACGGAGGAUACCAUCCCCAAAGAACAACAGAUCCUUAUCAGCAGGAUCCAAGAAUUAGAGGACAACAAAACAGUCCUUGAAAACAUCUGCCAGUACUUAAAAAAAAAAAAAAGACCGGCAGACGGAGAUGGACAAAAAUGAGGCAUAAGCUGCAGGACAAGGAGAUAAAGAAAUAGGAGAGAGAAGAAAAAGCAGACCAUCCAGGACGUCAACAUCAACGUGCCUGAGACUGGACACCUGUAAGAACACCUUCCUUCACCUCCCACUCCAUCCUACCUCAUCCAUCUACCCUGAAAAAAAAAAAAAAAAGAGAUCUGAAAAAAAGAGAUCUAAAAAAGAAAGAUCUAAAGAAAAAAAAGAUCCCAGAGGGAUUCUCUGGCUGCUUAUUUUUUUUACAACCUAAUCAGAAAAGGCGAGCACCACGAGAUGGUCACAAGCAGUGGUUUCACUGAGUUGUGCCAGAUCUCUAAGAUCCAACAAACGGAGGAUACCAUCCCCAAAGAACAUCACAUCCUUAUCAGCAGGAUCCAAGAAUUAGAGGACAACAAAACAUUCCUUGAAAACAUCUGCCAGUACUUAAAAAAAAAAAAAAAAACCGGCAGACAAAGAUGGACAAAAUGAGGCAUAAGCUGCAGGACAAGGAGAUAAAGAAAUAGGAGAGAGAAGAAAAAGCAGACCAUCCAGGACGUCAACAUCAA
ensembl:lncRNA